rnacentral:rRNA from 1 species
UUAAGUGACUAAGCGUACACGGUGGAUGCCUUGGCAGUCAGAGGCGAUGAAAGACGUAGUAACUUGCGAUAAGCCCAGAUUAGGUAGUAACAACCAUUUGAGUCUGGGAUUUCUGAAUGGGGAAACCCACGUGCAUAAGCACGUAUCCUUACCUGAAUACAUAGGGUAAGGAGGCGAACCGGGGGAACUGAAACAUCUAAGUACCCCGAGGAAAAGAAAUCAACCGAGAUUCCGAAAGUAGCGGCGAGCGAAAUUGGACUAGCCCUUAAGCUUUACACGCGUUAGACGAACGGUCUGGAAAGUCCGACGAUACAGGGUGAUAGUCCCGUAGUUGACGACGUGUGUUCAGUGAAAUCGAGUAGGGCGGGACACGUGAUAUCCUGUCUGAAUAUGGGGGGACCAUCCUCCAAGGCUAAAUACUACUGACUGACCGAUAGUGAACCAGUACCGUGAGGGAAAGGCGAAAAGAACCCCUGUGAGGGGAGUGAAAUAGAACCUGAAACCGUGUACGUACAAGCAGUAGGAGCAGGCUUUGUCCUGUGACUGCGUACCUUUUGUAUAAUGGGUCAGCGACUUAUAUUCAGUGGCAAGGUUAACCAUCUAGGGGAGCCGUAGGGAAACCGAGUCUUAACUGGGCGUUCAGUCUCUGGAUAUAGACCCGAAACCAGGUGAUCUAGCCAUGGGCAGGUUGAAGGUUGAGUAACAUCAACUGGAGGACCGAACCGACUAAUGUUGAAAAAUUAGCGGAUGACUUGUGGCUAGGGGUGAAAGGCCAAUCAAACUGGAGAUAGCUGGUUCUCCCCGAAAGCUAUUUAGGUAGCGCCUCGGACGAAUACUACUGGGGUAGAGCACUGUUAAGGCUAGGGGGUCAUCCCGACUUACCAACCCUUUGCAAACUCCGAAUACCAGUAAGUACUAUCCGGGAGACACACGGCGGGUGCUAACGUCCGUCGUGGAGAGGGAAACAACCCAGACCGCCAGCUAAGGUCCCAAAUUACUACUAAGUGGGAAACGAUGUGGGAAGGCUCAGACAGCCAGGAUGUUGGCUUAGAAGCAGCCAUCAUUUAAAGAAAGCGUAAUAGCUCACUGGUCGAGUCGGCCUGCGCGGAAGAUGUAACGGGGCUAAGUAGUAAACCGAAGCUGCGGCAAUAUACUUUUGUAUAUUGGGUAGGGGAGCGUUCUGUAAGCGGUUGAAGGUGUGUGGUAACGCAUGCUGGACGUAUCAGAAGUGCGAAUGCUGACAUGAGUAACGAUAAAGGGGGUGAAAAACCUCCUCGCCGGAAGACCAAGGGUUCCUGUCCAACGUUAAUCGGGGCAGGGUAAGUCGACCCCUAAGGCGAGGCCGAAAGGCGUAGUCGAUGGGAAACGGGUUAAUAUUCCCGUACUUCUUACAAUUGCGAUGGGGGACGGAGAAGGCUAGGUGGGCCUGGCGACGGUUGUCCAGGUUCAAGUGCGUAGGCUUGAGAGUUAGGUAAAUCCGGCUCUCUUUAAGGCUGAGACACGACGUCGAGCAUCUACGGAUGUGAAGUCAUUGAUGCCAUGCUUCCAGGAAAAGCCUCUAAGCUUCAGAUUGUAAGGAAUCGUACCCCAAACCGACACAGGUGGUCGGGUAGAGAAUACCAAGGCGCUUGAGAGAACUCGGGUGAAGGAACUAGGCAAAAUGGUACCGUAACUUCGGGAGAAGGUACGCUCUCGACGGUGAAGUCCCUUGCGGAUGGAGCUAUUGAGAGUCGCAGAUACCAGGUGGCUGCAACUGUUUAUUAAAAACACAGCACUGUGCAAAAUCGUAAGAUGACGUAUACGGUGUGACGCCUGCCCGGUGCCGGAAGGUUAAUUGAUGGGGUUAGACUUCGGUCGAAGCUCUUGAUCGAAGCCCCGGUAAACGGCGGCCGUAACUAUAACGGUCCUAAGGUAGCGAAAUUCCUUGUCGGGUAAGUUCCGACCUGCACGAAUGGCGUAAUGAUGGCCACGCUGUCUCCACCCGAGACUCAGUGAAAUUGAAAUCGCUGUGAAGAUGCAGUGUACCCGCGGCUAGACGGAAAGACCCCGUGAACCUUUACUACAGCUUGGCACUGAACAUUGACCCUACAUGUGUAGGAUAGGUGGGAGGCUUUGAAGCACGUACGCCAGUAUGUGUGGAGCCGUCCUUGAAAUACCACCCUUGUAGUGUUGAUGUUCUAACGUCGACCCCUAAUCGGGGUUGCGGACAGUGCCUGGUGGGUAGUUUGACUGGGGCGGUCUCCUCCCAAAGAGUAACGGAGGAGCACGAAGGUGGGCUAAUCACGGUUGGACAUCGUGAGGUUAGUGCAAUGGCAUAAGCCCGCUUGACUGCGAGAAUGACAAUUCGAGCAGGUGCGAAAGCAGGUCAUAGUGAUCCGGUGGUUCUGAAUGGAAGGGCCAUCGCUCAACGGAUAAAAGGUACUCCGGGGAUAACAGGCUGAUACCGCCCAAGAGUUCAUAUCGACGGCGGUGUUUGGCACCUCGAUGUCGGCUCAUCACAUCCUGGGGCUGAAGUCGGUCCCAAGGGUAUGGCUGUUCGCCAUUUAAAGUGGUACGCGAGCUGGGUUUAGAACGUCGUGAGACAGUUCGGUCCCUAUCUGCCGUGGGCGUUGGAAGAUUGAAGGGGGCUGCUCCUAGUACGAGAGGACCGGAGUGGACGAACCUCUGGUGUUCGGGUUGUGUCGCCAGACGCAUUGCCCGGUAGCUAAGUUCGGAAUCGAUAACCGCUGAAAGCAUCUAAGCGGGAAGCGAGCCCUGAGAUGAGUCUUCCCUGAUACUUUAAGUAUCCUAAAGGGUUGUCGGAGACUACGACGUUGAUAGGUCAGGUGUGUAAGUGCUGUGAGGCAUUGAGCUAACUGAUACUAAUUGCCCGUGAGGCUUAACCAU